rnacentral:tRNA from 1 species
GCCGUACUGGCCGACCCGGAAGGCGCCAUCUUCUCGCUGUGGCAGGGCCGGUCCUUCGCCGGCGCCGCGGUGUUCAACGCCCCGGGAUCGCUC